rnacentral:lncRNA from 1 species
UCACAUAAGUUUAGUUUCGCGACUCUAAUCAUAAUCAAUGAUGACUUCAUUAAUAGUAAUACGAAUUAAGAGUCUAAGCUCAACAAGAUAAUACUGCACCAUAUGAUAGAAGAUCUUAGUUUAAGGGAUUGAAAGAUAAGAUAGCAAGCUAGUCGUUAGCGGAAGCAAAAGACGAAGCAGAAUCCAAGCCUCAGCUCAACCCCAUCUGUACCAACCGAUCAACCUGAAAACAUUUAAAAAUAUUUUGGGCUGAGCACUAGUGUACUCAGUGAGCUAUGCAUUUUAUAAAUAUUUUAUGAAAUAACCAAGGCAGUUUAUCCAAUAUCACAAUCAUAACUCAGAAGGUUUUAAAACAGAAAUCCACUUCUAAGCAUGAUAAAACUUUUUCUCAUUAAGUGGCGCGCCAUGUGACGUUUGAUUGUUACUCACUGCUUAUGAUCCCGGACCUCUAGCCACCGACGGAUCGCUUUCUUUUCUCCCAUUUAUCAAUCUCGGGACGCACCCGGUCAGAUCAAUAAUCAUUUAUGUGCUUCGGAACACAUCCAGACAAGCACCCUUAUAACGCCUCUUAGCUUUGUUAGUGCACGAUGGCGAUCAACCCAUCGAGCCACUAACCUUGUGUACACAAUCCUCAUCUAACGUGUUAGGCCAAAUGAGAAUCUCGAUCGAUGAUUAUGCGAGCAUUAAACAAUAUAGAACGCACAUAAAAACAUUUAUAUUGGAUAAACGAACAUCUUCAUGAAAUAUCAGAGCUUAUAUAACUCAAAAUACAUUUAUGUAAAAUAAAGCCCACCUUGAUUGGACAAAGUCCGAAGUCAAACGUAACUUGUCUCGUAAAAGCAAUGCUAAUCCUCUUGGUCAACUGAACCUACAAUAUAAUCUAAACUUAAUAGGUCUCGUGAUACUAGCCUUAGAUAUUAGCAAAGUGAGGCUACUAAAUUCUGAUUCGCUA